rnacentral:hammerhead_ribozyme from 1 species
ACCCAGUUGCCGAGUCCUAAAUGGGACGAAACGCGCGUCAAACUGGAU